GUCCUGUUAGCUCAGCGGUAGAGCGCUAGGCUUUUAACCUAGUGGCCAUGGGUUCGAUCCCCAUACAGGACA
rnacentral:tRNA from 1 species